UACGUAGGUGGCAAGCGUUGUCCGGAAUUAUUGGGCGUAAAGCGCGCGCAGGCGGCCUCUUAAGUCUGAUGUGAAAGCCCCCGGCUCAACCGGGGAGGGCCAUUGGAAACUGGGAGGCUUGAGUAUAGGAGAGAAGAGUGGAAUUCCACGUGUAGCGGUGAAAUGCGUAGAGAUGUGGAGGAACACCAGUGGCGAAGGCGACUCUUUGGCCUAUAACUGACGCUGAGGCGCGAAAGCGUGGGGAGCAACAGGAUUGAGAAACCCU
rnacentral:rRNA from 1 species